GUGAGUUUCUCCUGGAUGGAAGUUUCCCCCCAGGGCAAGCUAGUAACCACUCCUUGAUCUUGGCUGAGAAGUCAGUGCCUCCUCACAGAAAAAAAACUGUCAUUUUUGGUGAAUUUAUAAAUGAACUUCAAAUCAAUAUUCAUGUAUUGCUGCUCUUUCCAUUUGUAGAUUUUGGCAAAAGUGAAGACAAACAGCACUUUGGAUCUGCAAAUAUAAGCACUGUAACGGAG